AAAUAAGAUGGCGUCAAAAUCCAAAGAAGUCAAAGUUUUUACCUGCCCAACCUUUUCCUCCUUCGACCCGAGGCCUGCUAAUAAAGGCAGAUCGUCGUUGAAUUCACAAACUAUAUGGAAUUUUGAUGAAAGUAGACAACUUCCCAAUGGAACUGGAAGGACAAAACGAAACCCAAAAUACAGCAAGUCGAAAAACG
rnacentral:ribozyme from 1 species